rnacentral:lncRNA from 1 species
UCCCAUCCCCCUGCAUGAGAAGCAAGUAUAAUUGUGAGCCACUAUCUCCUAAUCCACGUGUCACUACACAUGGUAGUUGAGAGGUAUUGUGACAUAAGGGAAGAGAAGUGACCUCAGUCACAGGAAGACAUAGCUUCAAGUCCUGUGUCUGCUACACACUGGCUAUGUGACUCUGGACCAAUCACCAGAGCUAUCAUCCAAGGGAUCAACCUUCGUGAAGAAGGGAUCCAUCAUUUCUACCAUCAUUGUUCCAGCCCACAGCCAUUAUCCAGGGAAACAACCUUUGUGGAGACAUGAAUUGUCAAAUGCUUCAGCAGGUGCUAUAGUCCUGGUUUCUUUAGCAGUCAUGGCUGAUCUUCGAAGACUGGAUGAGGAAACUGAGGUUCAGAAGAUUGAUCAUCAUCACACAGCCGAAGAGUGACCCUUUGGGAGAAGAGGCUUCAUCUCUUACAGUUUUUUGGAAAAGA